CCGCGACUCCCGCUUGUGCUGGACAGCGCAAUCCACGCUGUCGGGACUCGGAUCCGGACGGCGCGCGAGGGACCGCGGUAAAACGCGUGAUUUCUCUUCCCAGAAGCGGAGUUCGAUCCCUCCUCGAGCUUCCUACCUUCUGCUUGAGAUCCUCAAGGAAUUAAGGCCAAGAACCCUCAAGUAGGAUUUUUUUCCCUUGUUAAAAGAGCAGACUAGGAACAUAAUGGUUCUUGAUUGUUCUUUAUCUCCACAUAGGAGAUCCCAAAAUACAUCAUCUCCUUCAUUCUCUGUCAAGAAACAGCUAAAGGGUCGCGAUGACUUAGAAUGGUCUAUUCUCUUUGAGCGCCACCGAUUUCUCCUGACAAUGCUGGUCCUGCUGGUUUUACUGUGUACGAUCUAUCUCUACUUUGCUGUUACCUUGGGGGGCACAGGAUCGUGUUCUACAUUGUCGGGAGCUGAUAAGGUAUCGUGUCAGGGAAAAUCUUCUGCGGUACACAACGGAAAAUUAAAAUUUUUCUAGCUUGCAGGUUUUAGCUAUCCACAAGUUAUGUAUGCCUCGUUAUUGACUGUUGCAUGUAGAUCUGUGUGGAACUUUUCUGGAAUUGUUGUGAAAAAAGUAUAAUUGAAUGCCUGUGUUUUUAGCAA